rnacentral:misc_RNA from 1 species
AAAGUCGUAACAAGGUUUCCGUAGGUGAACCUGCGGAAGGAUCAUUACUGAAGUGAUUUGGGGAUGUUGCUGGCCUCUCUCGGGAGGCAAUGUGCACUCUCCAAAACAAUUCAUGAUUUCCAUCACACCCCUUGUGCACAUCCUGUAGGGCAAUGCCACCCCCUCUCAAAGUUGGGGCUGUUGUCCUAUGUAUUCUCUCAUCUCACACAUUUUGAAUGGUGCUCUUGGAUGCAUCUUGUGGAUUAUUUGUAACAAAGUAAUCAUAAAAACAACUUUCAACAAUGGAUCUCUUGGCUCUC